GAUGAACGCUAGCGGCAGGCUUAACACAUGCAAGUCGAGGGGCAGCACGUCUUCGGAUGGUGGCGACCGGCGCACGGGUGCGUAACGCGUAUACAAUCUACCUUUUACAGGGGCAUAGCCCGGGGAAACCCGGGUUAAUAUCCCAUGGUAUCAUUUAAUGGCAUCAUUUAAUGAUUAAAGCUUUGGCGGUAAAAGAUGAGUAUGCGUUCUAUUAGCUAGAUGGUAAGGUAACGGCUUACCAUGGCUACGAUAGAUAGGGGUCCUGAGAGGGAGAUCCCCCACACUGGUACUGAGACACGGACCAGACUCCUACGGGAGGCAGCAGUGAGGAAUAUUGGACAAUGGGCGAGAGCCUGAUCCAGCCAUGCCGCGUGCAGGAAGACUGCCCUAUGGGUUGUAAACUGCUUUUAUACGGGAAGAAACACCUCUUCGUGAAGAGGCUUGACAGUACCGUAUGAAUAAGGAUCGGUUAACUCCGUGCCAGCAGCCGCGGUAAUACGGAGGAUCCAAGCGUUAUCCGGAAUCAUUGGGUUUAAAGGGUCCGUAGGCGGGUACGUAAGUCAGUGGUGAAAGUCUGCAGCUCAACUGUAGAACUGCCAUUGAUACUGCAUACCUUGAGUAAUUAUGAAGUGGUUAGAAUAUGUAGUGUAGCGGUGAAAUGCAUAGAUAUUACAUAGAAUACCGAUUGCGAAGGCAGAUCACUAAUAAUUUACUGACGCUGAUGGACGAAAGCGUAGGUAGCGAACAGGAUUAGAUACCCUGGUAGUCUACGCCGUAAACGAUGGUUACUAGCUGUUUGGACCGAUUGAGGUCUGAGUGGCUAAGCGAAAGUGAUAAGUAACCCACCUGGGGAGUACGUUCGCAAGAAUGAAACUCAAAGGAAUUGACGG
rnacentral:rRNA from 1 species